rnacentral:lncRNA from 1 species
GGGGAUCCAUAAUAAACCCCAGGAAGAGUAGCUGCUGCCUUGGCAGGAACUAAUGGGGAUCCAUAAUAAACCCCAGGAAGAGUAGCUGCUGCCUUGGCAGGAACUAAUGGGGAUCCAUAAUAAACCCCAGGAAGAGUAGCUGCUGCCUUGACAGGAACUAAUGGGGAUCCAUAAUAAACCCCAGGAAGAGUAGCUGCUGCCUUGGCAGGAACUAAUGGGGAUCCAUAAUAAACCCCAGGAAGAGUAGCUGCUGCCUUGACAGGAACUAAUGGGGAUCCAUAAUAAACCCCAGGGAGAGUAGCUGCUGCCUUGGCAGGAACUAAUGGGGAUCCAUAAUAAACCCCAGGAAGAGUAGCUGCUGCCUUGACAGGAACUAAUGGGGAUCCAUAAUAAACCCCAGGAAGAGUAGCUGCUGCCUUGGCAGGAACUAAUGGGGAUCCAUAAUAAACCACAGGAAGAGUAGCUGCUGCCUUGGCAACAGGAACUAAUGGGGAUCCAUAAUAAACCCCAGGAAGAGUAGCUGCUGCCUUGGCAACAGGAACUAAUGGGGAUCCAUAAUAAACCCCAGGAAGAGUAGCCUUCUAUUAUAAAGGCUGUCAUGGUAACAAGCGUUCUAUUAUAAAGGCUGUCAUGGUAACAAGCGUUCUAUUAUAAAGGCUGUCAUGGUAACAAGCGUUCUAUUAUAAAGGCUGUCAUGGUAACAAGCGUUCUAUUAUAAAGGCUGUCGUGGUAACAAGCGUUCUAUUAUAAAGGCUGUCGUGGUAACAAGCGUUCUAUUAUAAAGGCUGUCAUGGUAACAAGCAUUCUAUUAUAAAGGCUGUCAUGGUAACAAGCGUUCUAUUAUAAAGGCUGUCAUGGUAACAAGCGUUCUAUUAUAAAGGCUGUCGUGGUAACAAGCGUUCUAUUAUAAAGGCUGUCGUGGUAACAAGCGUUCUAUUAUAAAGGCUGUCGUGGUAACAAGCGUUCUAUUAUAAAGGCUGUCAUGGUAACAAGCGUUCUAUUAUAAAAGCUGUCAUGGUAACAAGCAUUCUAUUAUAAAGGCUGUCAUGGUAACAAGCGUUCUAUUAUAAAGGCUGUCGUGGUAACAAGCGUUCUAUUAUAAAUGCUGUCAUGGUAACAAGCGUUCUAUUAUAAAGGCUGUCAUGGUAACAAGCGUUCUAUUAUAAAUGCUGUCAUGGUAACAAGCGUUCUAUUAUAAAUGCUGUCAUGGUAACAAGCGUUCUAUUAUAAAGCUGUCAUGGUAACAAGCAUUCUAUUAUUAAGGCUGUCAUGGUAACAAGCAUUCUAUUAUAAAGGCUGUCAUGGUAACAAGCGUUCUAUUAUAAAGGCUGUCAUGGUAACAAGCGUUCUAUUAUAAAGGCUGUCAUGGUAACUGCAAUAUUAGUGGAUUGUUUUUUUCUCAAGACUUGAGUGUCAUUUGCAGUAAAGUCCAGGAAACAAAUAACAUUGGAUUGUUUUCGUUAUUCACAAUUCCGAUGAACAAAUAAGGUUUUACAUGUAAGAUGGUUAAAUAAAGAGCAAAAUAAUUGAUCAUUAUUAUAUUAUUAUUUGUGCCCUGGUCCUAUAAGAACUCUUUGUCACUUCCCACGAGCCGGAUUGUGACAAAACCUCACACUCAUUCUUAUGUUUAAUAAAUGUAUCGUAUAGUGUGUGUGUGGCAGACUUACAAUGACGGCAACAACAACAUUUGAGAGUGCCCUGAUCCUGGUGCUAGAGGGGGUACAGCUGGAGGGUGAAUGUUUGAAGGGGUACAGCUGGAGGGUGAAUGUUUGAAGGGGUACAGCUGGAGGUUGAAUGUUUGAAGGGGUACAGCUGGAGGGUGAAUGUUUGAAGGGGUACAGCUGGAGGGUGAAUGUUUGAAGGGGUACAGCUGGAGGGUGAAUGUUUGAAGGGGUACAGCUGGAGGGUGAAUGUUUGAAGGGGUACAGCUGGAGGGUGAAUGUUUGAAGGGGUACAGCUGGAGGGUGAAUGUUUGAAGGGGUACAGCUGGAGGUUGAAUGUUUGAAGGGGUACAGCUGGAGGUUGAAUGUUUGAAGGGGUACAGCUGGAGGGUGAAUGUUUGAAGGGGUACAGCCGGAGGUUGAAUGUUUGAAGGGGUACAGCUGGAGGUUGAAUGUUUGAAGGGGUACAGCUGGAGGGUGAAUGUUUGUUUGUUUAAUUAGUUAAAACCUGCAUUUCCCACUAGCAUGGC